UUAUAAGGAACACAAGCUAAAAUCGUCACGUCCUGUGACAACGCUUGUGUAACCAACAUCGUGUCGG
rnacentral:sRNA from 1 species